GAUAAACCAGUAUUCUGGACUAAGCCAACGUGGGAGACCCUAGGAGGCCUGUUUGAGAAAGUGACAUUUAAAUUGAGACUUGGCGGUGGCUGUGGCUACAUAUCUAAUUGCAAACUCCUAGAGAAGGGCUCAACAGUGAGUGCUGAGGCUGCACAGAGGAGGAAGGCAGCACAAUGAUGGAAGGCUUCCUAAAGAGAUAACACUAACAAAGUUGACCUUAGAAUUGGAGUGCCUGGGUUAGAACCCUGCUGGUACCACCUGCUUACUGCAUGCUUCUGAUGUGAGUUCAGGAGAAGACACUGGCAAGGACAGCAAAGAACAGGAGAACACUCUAGCUUCCCUGAUAGCAUUCAAGGUGCUGUCCAAACUGACUGUGAUGGCACCCUCCAGACAGACAGCGAUGCCACAUGUUCAAGAUGGCAGAAUCACUAUCAGCUUCAAUUCCUGAAUGACUGCAGAGCAAAAUUUCUUACCUGCAACAUACACUCUAUUUUCAGCCUCCCUGGACUGUUACAUAAUGAUACAUAAAAAUAUUUCUUGUGUUGAGGCAUCCCAAAUUUGAUUUAUUUGUCAUCACAGUCUAUCCUAUGAAUAUAUUUCUGAUCCAAAUAAUGCUAGAUUCAUGAGAGUUUAUAGUCCAGAGAUUUUUUUUUUUUUUUUGAGACAGAAUCUGUCUCCCAGGCUGGGGUGCAGUGGCAUAAUCUUAGCUCACUGCAACCUCUGCCUCCCGGGCUCAAGUGAUCCUCCCUCCUUAGCCUCCAUGAGUAGCUGGGACCACAGGUGUGCACCACCACACCCCGCUAAUUAUUUUGUAUUUUUUGCAGAGGGGGGUUUCACCACAUUGCCCAAGCUGGUCUCAAACUCCUAGACUUAAGGGAUCUGCCUGCCUUGGCCUCCCAAAAUGCUGAAAUUACACUUGUUAGCCAUAGUAAUAGUUCCUAGCCAUAGUCCGGAGAUAUUUUAAAAACUUUAGUGUGAGUUAUUUCUCUUUGCUAUAAUUCUCUCAUGCAUUUUGAAAACCUUUUCUGCCAUACAGUGGUUUUUGGGAAGUCCUUUUGGACAGACAUAUCACAGGAUGGAGAAACUAAAAA
rnacentral:lncRNA from 1 species